rnacentral:rRNA from 1 species
AUUGAACGCUGGCGGCAUGCUUUACACAUGCAAGUCGAACGGUAACAGGCCGCAAGGUGCUGACGAGUGGCGAACGGGUGAGUAAUGCAUCGGAACGUGCCCAGUCGUGGGGGAUAACGCAGCGAAAGCUGUGCUAAUACCGCAUACGAUCUGUGGAUGAAAGCGGGGGACCGUAAGGCCUCGCGCGAUUGGAGGGGCCGAUGUCAGAUUAGGUAGUGGGGGGGGUAAAGGCUCACCAAACCGCCGUUCUGUAGCUGGUCUGAGAGGACGACCAGACACACUGGGACUGAGACACGGCCCAGACUCCUACGGGAGGCAGCAGUGGGGAAUUUUGGACAAUGGGCGCAAGCCUGAUCCAGCAAUGCCGCGUGCAGGAAGAAGGCCUUCGGGUUGUAAACUGCUUUUGUACGGAGCGAAAAGGCUCUCUCUAAUACAGGGGGCUCAUGACGGUACCGUAAGAAUAAGCACCGGCUAACUACGUGCCAGCCGCCGCGGUAAAAC